rnacentral:rRNA from 1 species
CCGCUUGCGGGGGAUUAGUGGCGAACGGGUGAGUAACACGUGAGUAACCUGCCCUUAACUCUGGGAUAAGCCUUGGAAACGGGGUCUAAUACUGGAUAUUGACUUUACCUCGCAUGGGGUUUUGUUGAAAGAUUUAUUGGUUUUGGAUGGACUCGCGGCCUAUCAGCUUGUUGGUGAGGUAAUGGCUCACCAAGGCGACGACGGGUAGCCGGCCUGAGAGGGUGACCGGCCACACUGGGACUGAGACACGGCCCAGACUCCUACGGGAGGCAGCAGUGGGGAAUAUUGCACAAUGGGCGAAAGCCUGAUGCAGCGACGCCGCGUGAGGGAUGACGGCCCUCGGGUUGUAAACCUCUUUCAGUAGGGAACAAGGCCAGCAUUUUUGUUGGUUGAGGGUACUUGCAGAAGAAGCGCCAGCUAACUACGUGCCAGCAGCCGCGGUAAUACGUGGGGCGCAAGCGUUAUCCGGAAUUAUUGGGCGUAAAGAGCUCGUAGGCGGUUUGUCGCGUCUGCCGUGAAAGUCCGGGGCUCAACUCCGGGUCUGCGGUGGGUACGGGCAGACUAGAGUGAUGUAGGGGAGACUGGAAUUCCUGGUGUAGCGGUGAAAUGCGCAGAUAUCAGGAGGAACACCGAUGGCGAAGGCAGGUCUCUGGGCAUUAACUGACGCUGAGGAGCGAAAGCAUGGGGAGCGAACAGGAUUAGAUACCCUGGUAGUCCAUGCCGUAAACGUUGGGCACUAGGUGUGGGGGACAUUCCACGUUUUCCGCGCCGUAGCUAACGCAUUA